ACAUCAAAAGUUUGCAAGGAUCCAGCCUGAAAGUAAGAGUCACGAGAGUGGGAAGAAUGGUUAAGAGACAAGUUACUGAAGAUAAUGAGAUCUAAGCUAGCUUAGGAAAAAAAUUAUAAACAAAUUGAUUACAGAGAAGCAGAGGGAGAGCAAAACGAUAGGAAAGAAGGCCCAUUAGUGUUCACUUUUCUUUGACCAAGACAAUUGACAACCAAAGCACUGAGAUGGACCACUCCUCAUGGUGGGGCUCGACAUUUUCAUAAACAGAGAAUCCAGGUGAUACGGCAAUUUACAUCAGUGGGUAGUGCUGUUCUGAGAACACAGAUUCAUUCUUGGGCUCGUCAAAGGUUGACCCAGGAGGUCCUCCAAGGGCUAAAGCUGGCUCAUCAUCCACCCAAUCCAAUUGGCUCAAACAAAACCUAUCCUGCAGCAAACAAUAGUUGUCAAAAUUUCAAGCCAACUUUCUUUUUUCUGUUGCAACAACGUUUUUUUUAAGAUAAUAUAUUCUUAUUCUACUGGUCAUACAAUCCUAGCCACUUCAGCCCAAGCAUACAUUUCUCACCAGCUUUAAUCAAAGAACAGGCAAAGCCCAACAUGAGAUAUUUUAAUAUAUUCCAUGGUUGUAAUUUUAUUUUCAGUAUUAAUGCUGUAUCAUUAUGGUGGGGUAUGCUAUUGUUUGGUUGAAUUCCUGAUCAUUCAAGAUUAUCUAGAGAUGCUCUUCCUAAGAACUUAAAGAGGAAAAUAAAUUAACUAAAAGACUUUGAGAAGUGUUAAUAAACAAUAGUAAAGCAAGAAAACUGAGUUUUAGCUCAAAUUUUUAACCUUCAACUUUUUCACAUCUAAUCCUUGGGAAUUUGAACUGGUAAUGUAGAUAUGGAGAGGCCACACAAGUUUAUUCAAGCAAUACAUAUGGGGAUGCACUUAGCGAUUCCUCUAAAAACUCAAGACAUCAAGACAUGACUAAACCGCCAAAAAGUCAAUAUUGUCUGGUCUAUAUAACAUAAUACAGCACCCCACAAGUAUAACAGAGUAGUGUUUAUAACAAGAAACUCGAAGAAUAUUUAGAUAUGUCUCCCCUUAAUCAGGAUUUGAUCACUAAUCCAGUGCAUAACCCAUCAGCUUAUCAUUUUGUGUUGAAUGAGUAUUUCAUGCAUUAAGGAUCUAUGUAAUUGGACCACAGAACUGCCUCCUUAUAAAAAUUGUAAAAUUGAGAAGCAUACUAAAGCGAUAAGUGGUUUAGACAAAGCAAUCAGAACUAUUGUCUUUGGAUGUCUCAUUUACAAUUUGCAAAGUAGAAACCAAGAUAUGAGUAAAACUGGACUAGAAAAUAGCAAAUAUAAUUUCUCAGAAUAUGUCCAAAGUAAAGAACAAAUUUAUGACACUUCAGGUGGUAAAGCAGUUAACAAGUCAUCAGUGGUUGAUUUGGAUUGAGAAAACUGGUAAGUGGCAACCUCUGAUGAUUUCAUCACAUUUUCUAAGGAAUUUACUUGAAAGUUAGAUUACAACUGAUACUAAGAGGAGCAAUAAUAUAGCCCAUAAAUUGCGAAGUUUGGGUAGUAUCAGUCUGUUAUAUGACCAAAUUCCACUGAUUGUUAUCUUGUCAUGAGUAAAUCAGAUAGACAGUUAAAAUAGCACUAGAAUGCAGGUUCUCUUUCACUAGAUAACAGUUCAAGGAACUCUAUAAUACUUGAAUGAGUUGAUAGCUCCAAGAGUAGGCUCACAUAUUUUACAUCAUUACUUUCCUAAUUGCUUUUAUGUUUCUCCUCUUUCUUUCUCAAUUUUCUAACAAAAACUUUUAUAAUAAACAUACAAAAGCAUAUGAGAGUAAUCAAUUACUGACCACUUAAAAUCACUCAUGCAAUGCAUAAUAGCAUCAGCUUCAAGC
rnacentral:misc_RNA from 1 species